rnacentral:rRNA from 1 species
UGGGGAAUAUUGGACAAUGGGGGCAACCCUGAUCCAGCCAUGCCGCGUGAGUGAUGAAGGCCUUCGGGUUGUAAAGCUCUUUUGGCGGGGACGAUGAUGACGGUACCCGCAGAAUAGGCCCCGGCUAACUUCGUGCCAGCAGCCGCGGUAAGACGAAGGGGGCUAGCGUUGUUCGGAAUUACUGGGCGUAAAGCGAGUGUAGGCGGUUGCCGUAGUCAGGUGUGAAAGCCUUGAGCUCAACUCAAGAAAUGCACUUGAUACUGGGUGACUAGAGGACCGGAGAGGAUAGUGGAAUUCCCAGUGUGUGGUGAAAUACGUAGAGAUUGGGAAGAACACCAGUGGCGAAGGCGGCUAUCUGGACGGUUACUGACGCUAAGACUCGAAAGCGUGGGGAGCAAAACAGGAUUAGAUACCCUGGUAGUCCACGCCGUAAACGAUGGGUGCUAGACGUUGGCGAGCUUGCUCGUCAGUGUCGCAGCUAACGCGUUAAGGCACCCCGCCUGGGGAGUACGGCCGCAAGGUU